AGGCCCCGUAAGGAAAGGGGCUCACCAAACACGAAUAUCGCCAAUAGAGAAGGAGGAGGAGCUACGAACGGUGGACUGGAGUGCCUCCCUCGGAUCCACCUACAAUCAUAACAUGAUUGUAGCGCCCCCGGCAAAAGGGACGUAAGUAUAUUUGAAUUGUACUGGCAUGUACGAACAAACUCUGUCCCAAGUAAACUCAAGCCAAAUUGCAUAUACAAGUAUAAACCGAACAACAAUGGUACAAGUACAACCAUGGAGCAACAACCAAACAUUUACAACAAAUGAUUCAAGUAGUCAUACAAAGAGAAAAUCAUUGCCCCGCAAGUUACAAACUCUCCUGUUGUCUCCUUUCACAUUUCCACAUUUAUCAUUUCAUGAUUCAUAUUCGGGCAAUCAGUUCCCCACAGGUUACAAACUCUCAUGCUGUCUCCAUUCACAAUUCCACAUUGAUCAUUUCGUGAUUUAUAUUCAUAUCAAUAGUGAUAUUGUAUCACAUUUUUCCACCCUUAUUACCUCGUCCACCCUUAUUACCUCGGCCACCCUUAUCACCCCAACGCACACCUUAUUUCACCGAGUUACGGCGCGCAACCCGACCCCGCCUGACAGUUUUCAAUUCACAACAACAAACAUCACAACAACAAAUACAAGAAUCAACUAUGGAACAUUGUUAGAGUAGAUCCACAAUAAGGGUAAUGCAAUUUCACAUCUAGCAACAAUAAUUCAAUUCCACAACCAGCAACACAAUUUCUUUAUGUUCAUUAAUUUGUACACAAUUUGGAUCAUCACAACAGUUAUUCAAAUCUAAUCACACACGUUGUUCCACAAUAUUUCUAUUUCCGCUGUUCCACAUUGUUUCCAUUUCCAUUGUUCCACAUUAUUUCCAUUGUUCCAUAUUGUUUCAAUUACAAGUUCCAAAACAUGUUACCAUGCCAUUAUACUACACCAAAACAUUUACAAUGAUUCUCACAUGAAUAUCAACUAUCAACAAUUCUACAACUAGCACAGGGCAACUUCACAAAGAUCACAGUUAGUCAUACAUACCUGGAGUUGAUUAUUCCCUUUUAAACCUCUAGUCCGAUUUGCCAAGCAAUCAAGAAAUCAAUCUAGUUCAUGAACAACACUUAGGUUUUAGAAAUUUAAANNNNNNNNNNNNNNNNNNNNNNNNNNNNNNNNNNNNNNNNNNNNNNNNNNNNNNNNNNNNNNNNNNNNNNNNNNNNNNNNNNNNNNNNNNNNNNNNNNNNNNNNNNNNNNNNNNNNNNNNNNNNNNNNNNNNNNNNNNNNNNNNNNNNNNNNNNNNNNNNNNNNNNNNNNNNNNNNNNNNNNNNNNNNNNNCCAAGAUUUUUGAGUUUUGAAGCCAUGCAUGAAGAUUUUAUGAAGAAAAUUCAAAGCAAGUGUAGGGGUUCCCUUCCCAAGCUUAAUUUCGAAAUUUGAGGGAAAUGGAUUAGGAAUUUUACCUGAGAAAUCAGUAGAGAAGUCACUACCCCAAGAAUGUCCCAAGCUUCAAUGGUUUUGAAAGAUCGAUUGAUGAAAAAUUUGCUUUCUCUCUCUAGGACCCUCUCUUCCUCUCUCUUAUUUUGUUCAAAACAUGGGUUAAAAAUGAGGAAUGGGGUAUUUUUAUUAAAAAGGGGUCGGGCUUAGAUUUUUAGAAAAAUAACUGGGCGAGCUUAAUCUGCGAUGCAACUCUGCGAUCGCAAAACAGACAUGCGGUCCGCAGAAUGGACCGUAGAAAUGGCUCAAACUUCAAACUUCUCGGGUUGGGAAUGCGGUGAAUAUGCGGUCCGCAUUUGAGUUCUAUGGUCGCAGAAUGCACCGCAGAACUAACCUUCAAAUUUCCUCGGGGACAAUAUGCGAUCACUCUGCGGUCCGCAUAUUGAUUAUGCAAUCGCAAAUUUGACCGCAUUUUCAACAUAAAAAAUUGGUUGCUCUCUAAUUCACUCUGCGGUAGGAAUGUGGUCUGCAUAGCUGAUCUGCGACCGCAUUCUGUACCGCAUUUUGACCAUUUUCUAGAAAAUUUCGAUAUCAUAUUUUUAAGUUCAAAACAGUAAAAAGGAUCUGUUCCACAUAGGUAGACUCGACUCUAUGAGCUUCUAACAUCUGAGCACUCAAUUCACGGGGCCUUACACAAGGUCGAUGGCGCAUCCAAUGCAUCAGGAUCUGGAUUAACCUCGUACUCGAGGUCCCAACAGGAGAAGUCAUCUACCAAUUCAUACAGUGCCCUUAUAUGACUAACAAUGAGGCCAAGUACGAGGCCAUAAUUGUAGGACUAAAUCUAUCUCUCAAAUACGGAGCAGGAAGAGUCGUCCUCAGAAGCAACUCAUAACUCGUUGUCAACCAAGUCACCGGGACUUUCCAAAUCAAAGAGUAUAGGCUACAAAAGUAUCAGGCAGAAAUUCAUAAACUUUUACUAGAAUUCAACAAAUGUCGACUCAAACAGAUACCUCGAGCACAAAACAUCGAGGCAGAUGGCCUCGCCAAGAUAGCAAUAGCUACAAAAAAUAUUACAAAAGAAAAUGUGGUCACCCUCCUCCACUCGUCAAUUGAGCAACUUGAGUUACACUCUGUAAAUUUCACUUGGGACUGGGGCAACAGUAUUAUAACAUAUAUGCAGGAGGGAGUACUCUCAUUAGCCAAAAAGGAAACCAAAAAGCUUCAAACGCAGGCGGCCAGGUACAUCAUCAUAAACCAUGACCUAUACAAGAACAUUUGGAGGCCCAUUAGCAAAAUUCCUAGGGCCAAACCAAACAAACGCGUCCUCGAGAAGGUACAUGAAGGCCAAUGGGGUGCCCAUGGGCACCCGAGCCCUCGUCAGAUGCCUUAUUCGAGCGGGUUAUUGUUGGCCUACAAUGAAGAAGGAAGCCGCCGACUAUGUCAAAAAGUGUGAGCAGCGCCAAAAAUACGCUUCCAUAAUACACCAAGCAGGCAAGAUCCUGCACUCGGUUACAUUGCCAUGGCCGUUGGAAAAUUGAUAUUGUCGGACACUUCCUAGCAGGGCGAGGUAAUAUACGAUUUCUUUUGGUUUUAACUGACUAUUUAUUCAAGUGUGUAGAAGUAGGGGUGUUUGCCUCAAUACGCGAACAGGAAGUUAUCACAUUCAUAUGGAGAAGCAUCAUGUGCCACUUUAGAAUCCCCAUAGAAAUCAGUUCUCACAACGGGCCCCAAUUCACCAAAAAAAAAUAGCCAAAUUCUUUGAGAAAUGGCACAUCAAGCAAAUAAUCUCCACACCAUAUCACCCUACCGGUAAUGGACAGCCCAAAUUCUCCAACAAAAAAAUACUAAACAUCUUGAAGGAAAAACUUGACGAUGCCAAGGGACUGCGGCCGGAAUUACUAUAAGAAGUGUUGUGGGCAUACCGCACUACGCCAAAAACAAGCACAUGAGAAACUCCAUAUUCACUAGUCUAUGGGUCUGACGCCAUGAUACCACUCAAGGUCGGGCGACCUAGUUGAUACUCCAAUGAAAGCGGACCAAGCAACGACGAAAACAGAAAGAAAGACCUCGACAAAGCAGAGGAAUAAAAAGACAUGUAUUACAUAAGAAUGAUAGCCCAAAAAUAUAGAGUAGAAUGGUAUUACAACAAAAAGGCCAAAGUACUGCCACUCAAAGUCGGAAACUAUGUACUCAAGGCCAAAACACAUGCGAGCAAAGAUUCAAGAGAAGGUAAACUAGGAACCAAUUGGGACGGGCCAUACAAAAUCACAGUAGCAGCAAAAAAAGGAUCAUUCCAACUAGAAACAAUGGAGGGAAAUCUACUACAAAACAAUUGAAACGUGGCCCACCUUAAAUACUUAAACUUCUUAAAAUGGACGCCCUCUAAGUCAUACUCUUUUUCCCUCGCCCGGGUUUUGUCCCAAUUGGGUUUUCUCGAUGAAGUUUUUAAUGAUGCGACGAAGGGGACAUCUUGAAGUUCAAGUAUAAUUCAUCGCCCCUCCUUCCGACUAUUUCUCCACGCUGAUGAUGAAAGGACUAGGCACACUGGAACUUCUCCAAUAUAUGUAUGGAGCAACAAAAACAUGUGAUAUUUUCCAAUGAAUGAAAUGAAGCAAUGUGUUUGCACAAAUCCACCAAGCCACUUUAUAUUUUACACUAAGCCUUGGUCGAAUAACUUCACAUUCAAUCUCGCUCAAAUUAAUUCAUAUUCGACCUCGCUCGAAUUACUUCACAUUCGAUCUCGCUAGAAUUAUGUGAUUUUCGACCUCAUCAAACCUCGACCUCAUCCGAGAUAAUUAAUACUCGACCUUAAGUCAGUCUAUGUUCGUCUCAACCAAUAUCAAACAUAUACAAACACCGAAAAUCAUGGGCUUCCCCACAUAGCAAAAAAAAGAGGAAAAGAGAAUGAGAAUCCAUAAAUACAUAGAAAAAAGGGAAUUGUUCCAUUUCAUUAUCAGAUUACAAUACUUUAUACAAAGGGCUUAGGAUGCCCUCACAAAAAUAGCAAAGCAAAAAAAACUAAGUAAAACAGCUUCACACUACAUCAUCCCCGUCAGCAUACUAAUCAUCAUACCAAGGAUCAGAGGCAAGCCUAUCUGCUGCAUCUUAUCCUCAUCCCCGCUAGGCGUACUGGGGUCGUAACCACAAAUUUCACGGGUUGCACAUGCCUUGACACGGAUGCCCUCAAGCUCUAUUUCAGAAACUUUCCGGGAAACCUUCAGAGAUUUAUACACGUCAAGUUGAGCCUCAGCAUGGACCCACAUCUCAUACAACUCCUACGGUUCAACGAGAUUGGCAGAAGUAUGAGAUUUAGAUGCUUGUGAAAUCAAGUCUCCUCGGCCCUUAAGAUAACGACUUUCUCGUUUAACCCGGACAAUUCUGCCUCCAAACCUUGGAUCCGUUCUUCCAACCUAGCCACCUUAAGCUCCGACUUCUCCUCCUCAUUAACUCGCUCGGACGUGCAAACACGGAGGGCAUCUUCUAGGGCUGCCGCUUUUACCAUAACAUCCAUUCUGCCUUUCUCGGCCCAACUCGAUUCUUCAACCUUGGCACUCAGCUCACCCAUCAGUUCGAAAACCCUUUCCUCCCACUACCUGAGUUGAGGCGUUAAGGAUGCUACCUGCGUCAGAAGGUCGGCGUUCUCAGCCAUCGCCCAUUUACUCACCUCAAUUUUGUCAUCGUUGGCCUUUAGCGCUGUCUCGAGCUCGUUUCACCUACUGAUGGUCCUCAUAAACUCAUCUUCCCUCUCCCUUAGCUUUUUAUCUUUCUUCAUCAACACAUCGUCUUUCUGUUUGAGCGUAUCACGAAGCGACUGGAAUUCACCAUCCUGGCAAAGGAAUUCGACAUGUGUUUGGUGCUUAUUACUGUACUCCUUAUACUUAGAAGUCAUCUUCUUAAAAUGGUCAUCCUCUGCUCCUCCCACCGAUCAUGCUCGAUCCCCAUGAUAAGAUUCUGACAUGCAAAAAGAGAGGAGUCAGUGUAAGCAUAUUACAUAUACAAAACAAAUCCUAACAUAGAAAAGCACUUACUCACAGUGUCAUUCCGGAUAUACCCAAUGACAAAUCUGCAUCAUUCAUCGCCUGUAGCGUCGUGUUUUCAGAAGCCAUGCACAAGGGAGCAAAAUCUGGCAACACCCUUUUUGAGUUGGCUAAAAGGUCUUAGUCCACGGGAAUGACUAUGUGCUGGAUAGGACACUCUGUCCGUACCUACACAUGAGUAUUACUCUCCAAGAAGGCCCAAAACUCCUCAGGGUUUAUGUCCGAGCCACAGUCAUCGUCCCCCGUAGGGACAACUCUACUUCCCCUUGCCGCCGAUGAUGAGCCACAUUCUAUGGCCCAUGUAAGCUCUCUGCUGCAAAGAAUCCCCUCAACCUCAGAGGGUCUCCUCUCCAUGAUGACACCUGCCGUGGAAACGACCUCUACGUCCGGUGCAAGCGCGGAUUCCGCUUCUAAAGCAAUGAAUUUUUCCGGCUUGACAUCAGAAACACUAGCCUUCCCGGUUUUCACCCCUCAUCUUUUCCUCAAUGGUGUCUCCUCGCUAUUAGAUAGCUCGUCUACGAUAUGAAAAAGAUGGGCUGGGAAGAGAUCUCGUCUCGCAUGGCAACAGUUUGAGAGGUGAAGUCCCUCGUCGGCAAAACUUGAGUUCGACCUCCUCGAGCAGACUCAGCAAUGGAAAAUUGCAUUCCAACCGACGAGAUAGCAUGGAAAAAUGCAUGCACUAGAGCUUUCGCCUUCUUGAAAACUCUCCGACCUGGAACCACAGGGAGUUAGCAUCAAAAGUGAUAGUAAAUGGCAGUAAGUCGGGAGAUGAAACACACUUACUGGACGGAGUCUUGGGACCAAAACUCUUGUAAAAGGAUGCCCGAUCGUGAAUUCCCACGGUAUGAGGUGACACGCGAGUCACUCAAUCUUCAAUGACAAAAAUAGGAGAACGUUGUCACACCUCCUUUUUACACACCUAUCCCAAGGGAUAAAGUAUAAGAAAGUUCUUCCAAUUAAAGUGACAUUAUUAGAAUUGGGAUUAUUUAUUUAUCACAAUUGCCACUUGGGAAUAGGUUUGGCUUUUGGUGUCCCAAGUCACCAGUUUAUCUUGAAUCCCAAAUCGAGGAAAAUUUUGGCUUUUUCAAGUGAUGUUUGCGAACCAGAAAUUCUGACUAAGGAAUUCUAUUAACCCAGAGGAAGGUGUUAGGCAACCCUGAAUUCUAUUGUUCUAGCACGAUCGCUUAAAUUAUCAUAAUUGGCCUAUUACCUGAUUUUCAAAAAAAUUUCAACCUAUGGUGCAAUUUUAAAUAGUUGAACUCUUUUGAUUAAUUUUUAAAGAAGAUUGAACGUCGUUUAAAUUGUGUCUUUGGACCGCAUCACAUGAAAUGCACCCGCAAUCCAAAACACAUUUUAUUUAACGUUUUAUGAUUUGAAUUUGGGUCAUAUGAAAUGCACACCCGAGUUUAAGAAGGUAAUAUUAUUGAAGAACGCUCCUAAAGCAACUAACUCAUCGUUAACUUCGCGGGAGUUCAUGGAAAUUCGCUAAACGAUGUAACUCGAUUUCUAAGGAGUUAAAAUUAAUUACAUGAGGGUUAUGGGUCAUUUAUUGAAAAUGGCACCCCUCAAAUUGGAAAUUAACCUACGGUGUAUUAUCAUACCAAGAUUUACAGGAUUAUCACAAGUAUUUUUAGCAUGAAAUCCACAAAAAAGUAAUUGAAUUGGGCUAACGCCACAAAUAUUUUAAUAUCUCUAUAGUUCAAGUUGAAGCAUGAAUAAUUGAAUCCAUUGACUAAAAGAAUAACAGCGUACAUUCGUUCCUUCAUUAAAUAUGAGUGAACCUUUGGAUGCAUCAAUGACAUUCAUGAGCAAAAUAACAUCAUUUUAAAAGCCAUGUAUCAUUCCAUGUGUACCUUCAGUUACCACAUAUAUCCAUAUCAAUUCAGAAUUAAAACAAAGGAACGGAUCCUCGGGCUCCCACAAAGUGAAUCAGAUUCAAGCAAUUCAAUAUUUUGAGUAAUUGCUAAUAAUCAAUUAUAAUUCCUAAAUCUUAUUAAACCAAAUUCCAUUAAUUACUAUCAUGCUUCAAGAAAUUGGACUAACCUAGGUCCAUUGAUUUCCACAGAAGAACACUAUUAACAGAGAACUCAUCACAAAUAAGAGUCGCCCGAAAUUUAUACACAGAAGAACCAAAUUCUUUGUCAUUUACAAUUCAAGUAAUUUCAUGGUUUCGUACUUACCUGCUAGGCGAAGGAAAUAGCUAGAUUGAACCGAAUCAAGGCUAGGAAAAUAGAAGAUCGGAGCUCCGUAACAGCAGAAUCAACAAAAUACAGCUUCAUCGUCUUUGAAAUGAGCGACGCACUCUUAAGAUAUUUCAAACUGCUAAAGUGCAAGAAACAACGCCAGAUUGUCUAAACAUGCGACAUUUGUGAUAAUCACAACACUCAUUGCAUUCUAACCGAUUAAAGCUCUAAUUUGGAAGAUUUUUCUCCGUGAGAUUCAAAUAAGAGGGAGUGAGAGAUGCGGAAGGUUGGACAGAUUUGGGGCUGGUUGGUGGCUGAUUUUUUGGGUUACUUUGGAGAUGAUGGAGAAGAUGAUAAACAGGGGAAAAGUUGCGCCCCUCUUGGAGAUGAAGGAUAUCUCCUUCAGAUCCAGGUAUUUUAUAGGUGUAAGUCUAGAUUUCAAUUUGAAGGGUAUGGGUUUUGGGCUAGGAAUGGAGAAUUGGGUCAU
rnacentral:lncRNA from 1 species